rnacentral:lncRNA from 1 species
CCCCAGCCCCAGCCCCGGCCCGGCCUGAGCAGGAGAGCAGGAGCAGGGGGGAGGAGGAGGAAGGGGGGAGGCCGAGCUGUGAUACAUGGGGGGCCCAAAGGGGACCCACUGAGCUCAUCAUCAUUCCCUCCCUCCCACCACCAAGCCAGAGACAGUGAGGAGACUAGAGGAGAAGAUGAUGGGAAGAGACACAUUGAGGCAUGGAGAGACAUGGAGCUGGGAAUGGGAGGGAGGGAGCUGCCCAGAAACAUUGGAGAGAGCAGACCGAAGAAGACUGAGGCGGAUGGGGAAUGGGAGGGAAAGAGAUAGAGAGACACUGAGGGAGCCACAGAGACAAUGGGCCAUUGUGGGAGAAGGAGUGAGUGAGAGCCCAGAGCUCAGAGACUGAAGAGAAAUUCACAGAGAGAGAAGAAAAGGUUGGCUAACACACUGAGGCCAGGGUGCACAAAUGCCCUGGACUGGCAGAGACAGAGACGAGCAAGGAGCAAGGCCAGGUGGAGAGACAUGGGGUGGAGACGGAGACACGAGGAGGGCGAGGGACCCGCAGAGGCGGAAAGGCACUGAGCCGGAGGUGGGGUGUGGGUGAAGAGGUUUGGAAACCGAUAGGGAGGUGGAAAGAAAGACCUUGCUAUACCUAGAGCUGUUCAGAGACAGACAGACUGCUGCACCUGAGACACACACACACACACACACACACACACACACACACACACACACACACACACACACACACACGAGACUGAUGGAGAGACUCAGAGACACCAGGACGCAGACAAAGAACAAAAGAGAAACCCCUCAGAGAUGGAGGUGUGGAGGCAGAGCUGCAAAGUGAGAGAUGACAGGGAGACCAAGCGGGAGAAUGAGGCAGAGGCACAGGAACUGCAGGAGCAGCCACAGACAGAAGAGACUGAGAUCCAGGGCAAGAGAGAAGCUGGGAGCCAUAGAUGGAGAUGCUGAGAGACAUGGAGAGAGAGAGAUCCUGGGAAUUCCGAGACAGAUUACGAGAGGCCGAGAAAGAAACGAGGGACUGAGAAACAGCAAAGUGAGGCUGGCAGAGGUUUCCUCCUCUGUCCAGUGCUGAGCUGAGAUCUCAGAUCCCUAAAUACAAGGCCGUUCCUCUCCUAGGAGUGUCCAUCGAGGAAAGGCCGCCUUCGAUCAGAGCUCAGAACAAUCCAGAGAUUUCGAGGCCAGGAGAUAGCAUGUGCCAGACCCGGAGCACAGCCCACAGAGGCAUGGAGCUUGCAGGGAAGGAAAGGCAGCAGCCAAAGAUAACAUGGGGUUGGGGUCCUGAGCCCCCAGAAGCCCCACCCUCAGGGACACUGGUAGUCAUGGAGAGA